rnacentral:tRNA from 1 species
GCGGGUGUGGCGGAACUGGCAGACGCACUGGAUUUAGGUUCCAGCGCCGCAAGGCGUGGGGGUUCAAAUCCCUCCACCCGCACCA